CUCACAAACAACCCUUUACCACCACAUUUCUCCACGGGAUUUAUGUUUCAACACCAUCAUCCCAGAUAUUACCCUCUGAGGACACAGAUGAGAACGAAGUGAAGGACAGCUGUGACCCAAAAGCACCCCCAGGACACGAGUGCCGGGCACAGCACACACACCCUGUCCUUCAGCAUUUCCCUUUGCUCCAUUCUCCCCAGCCUUAACCUAAAACCUUUAUUGUUCCGGGAUGACGUUAGGAUGUAUCGGUGUAGACAGAGCUGUCAGGAUUUCUGUUUUUUUUCCCCAAAGCCGUGCCACAUUUCUCACCCUGAUGCUGAGGACAAAAGGACUGAGUCCCACACACACGGCUGUCUGCAGACGGGCAGCAAUAAAAGUUGAUUAUUAAUAAGCCACAUGGAUCCGGGCCAUGGCAGCUGCGACAUUGCUGGGAAGAGAUAAAGAAAAUUGCAGAGGUGGAGGGAAAACGUGCCAAGGGGGGGGACAAGUGUGUCCCCAGCAGAGAUCAACCGGACCCCAAGCACUGCGUGGUCCUGAGUUAUGGAGGAGAAUGAGGACUGGAGACUUCCCAGCUCCCAUUCCUCCACACCAGGGCUGAAGAUUUGGGAUGUGGCGUUUCAAGGCUCAGGGAACACUCAGUGCGAACGCUUUGGGGACUGCUGGGCAGCCCAGUGCCCCCACAUUGCAGAACAUCCCCAGCAGUGUUGGGGAACGGGGCAGAGGGAAGGGCAAGAAAUUCCCAAUCUGUUCGGCUCCCAUUCUUGCCUCCCCUUUUGUUCCACUCGCCAUCUGUCCCGCAGCCCUGCACACCCCACACUCCCUCCACACAUGCUGUAAAUUAUCAAGCUGGGUUUUGUCUCUGCUUCUAAAGGCACAGUGUGCCCGGAGCCGUGCUGCAUCCCCAAGUGCCAGCCUUAGAGCUGUGAGGGCUGGCACUGCCGGGGGUCCUGCUGCUCCUUCCUGACUGCUGGGAUCUGGGGGGCGCACCCCUGCCGUGCUCUGCUCCUCGGGGAUUUAUCGUGUGCAAGGAAGGGAGGAAAGGUCUGUCAGGACAAAGGGCAGGUGGGGAGCGUGGUACCCCAGCAGGAUCCGCUCUGCCAGCCCUGCUGAGGGGCAGAAACCAGCAGGGCAGGAACCCACACGCAGCACGAGACGUGGGUUUGCCAGAGCUGGUGCUGCUGCAGCCCCUCCAACCACAGAAAGCACCGUGCUGUUGCUGGGCCAGAUACAGGCACCCACGCAGUGCUGAUUGGCCUCAGCUGAGCUGACAUCACCACUCCCGUCCCAGUGGCAAACCCCGGGCAGGAAGCACCUGGAGGAGUCUGACCCCACGCCAUGUACUGGGGAGGGUGGAGGCUGGGUUUCACUUCUGCUGACGUUGCUUUUCUGACAGCCCCAACCCAGCAGGAAGGACAGGUGGGGCAGAGCAAAGGGCACCGGGCAGCACUCCGGCCCAGGACACGUCGGGGAUGAAUGCUGGUUUAUGCAACGUGCCAAUCGCUGAUGGCAGGGGGCACCGACCGACCUGGGCUCCUUGAAUCAGACGCUUCCAGCAGAAACAUCCAAAAUAAAAUAAAAGUAAAAAUCCCAGCAGAAAGCUUGACAGAAAGAGUGUCCAAAUGGCAUCAGGAGGUGGGGAAUGGUGGCUGUGCCUUUAUUUACUUCCAGUCUGUCCUGAA
ensembl:lncRNA